CCCUUAGAUGUCCUGGGCUGCACGCGCGCUACACUGGAAGUUACGGAUUGAGAUACUACCUUGUCCGAAAUGGUCCGGGUAAUCACCUAAAAGCUUGUCAUAAUUGGAAUGGAUUAUUGUAACUAGUAAUCCUGAACGAGGAAUUCCUAGUAAGUCCCAGUCAACAGCUGGUACUGAUUACGUCCCUGCCCUUUGUACACACCGCCCGUCGCUACUACUGAUUGGACGUUUAAGCAAGAUUUUUAAACACUGACAGUGUGUAGUUCACGCUAUACUACAGUGAGAAGAAGAAGAUCGAGCUUACCUGUCUAGAGGAAGUAAAAGUCGUAACA
rnacentral:rRNA from 1 species